rnacentral:rRNA from 1 species
AUCAUUUAAAGAGUGCGUAAUAGCUCACUAGUCGAGUGACACUGCGCCGAAAAUGUACCGGGGCUAAACAUAUUACCGAAGCUGUGGAUUGUCCUUUGGACAAUGGUAGGAGAGCGUUCUAAGGGCGUUGAAGCAUGAUCGUAAGGACAUGUGGAGCGCUUAGAAGUGAGAAUGCCGGUGUGAGUAGCGAAAGACGGGUGAGAAUCCCGUCCACCGAUUGACUAAGGUUUCCAGAGGAAGGCUCGUCCGCUCUGGGUUAGUCGGGUCCUAAGCUGAGGCCGACAGGCGUAGGCGAUGGAUAACAGGUUGAUAUUCCUGUACCACCUAUAAUCGUUUUAAUCGAUGGGGGGACGCAGUAGGAUAGGCGAAGCGUGCGAUUGGAUUGCACGUCUAAGCAGUAAGGCUGAGUAUUAGGCAAAUCCGGUACUCGUUAAGGCUGAGCUGUGAUGGGGAGAAGACAUUGUGUCUUCGAGUCGUUGAUUUCACACUGCCGAGAAAAGCCUCUAGAUAGAAAAUAGGUGCCCGUACCGCAAACCGACACAGGUAGUCAAGAUGAGAAUUCUAAGGUGAGCGAGCGAACUCUCGUUAAGGAACUCGGCAAAAUGACCCCGUAACUUCGGGAGAAGGGGUGCUCUUUAGGGUUAACGCCCAGAAGAGCCGCAGUGAAUAGGCCCAAGCGACUGUUUAUCAAAAACACAGGUCUCUGCUAAACCGUAAGGUGAUGUAUAGGGGCUGACGCCUGCCCGGUGCUGGAAGGUUAAGAGGAGUGGUUAGCUUCUGCGAAGCUACGAAUCGAAGCCCCAGUAAACGGCGGCCGUAACUAUAACGGUCCUAAGGUAGCGAAAUUCCUUGUCGGGUAAGUUCCGACCCGCACGAAAGGCGUAACGAUUUGGGCACUGUCUCAACGAGAGACUCGGUGAAAUCAUAGUACCUGUGAAGAUGCAGGUUACCCGCGACAGGACGGAAAGACCCCGUGGAGCUUUACUGUAGCCUGAUAUUGAAAUUCGGCACAGCUUGUACAGGAUAGGUAGGAGCCUUUGAAACGUGAGCGCUAGCUUACGUGGAGGCGCUGGUGGGAUACUACCCUAGCUGUGUUGGCUUUCUAACCCGCACCACUUAUCGUGGUGGGAGACAGUGUCAGGCGGGCAGUUUGACUGGGGCGGUCGCCUCCUAAAAGGUAACGGAGGCGCUCAAAGGUUCCCUCAGAAUGGUUGGAAAUCAUUCAUAGAGUGUAAAGGCAUAAGGGAGCUUGACUGCGAGACCUACAAGUCGAGCAGGGUCGAAAGACGGACUUAGUGAUCCGGUGGUUCCGCAUGGAAGGGCCAUCGCUCAACGGAUAAAAGCUACCCCGGGGAUAACAGGCUUAUCUCCCCCAAGAGUUCACAUCGACGGGGAGGUUUGGCACCUCGAUGUCGGCUCAUCGCAUCCUGGGGCUGUAGUCGGUCCCAAGGGUUGGGCUGUUCGCCCAUUAAAGCGGUACGCGAGCUGGGUUCAGAACGUCGUGAGACAGUUCGGUCCCUAUCCGUCGUGGGCGUAGGAAAUUUGAGAGGAGCUGUCCUUAGUACGAGAGGACCGGGAUGGACAUACCUCUGGUGUACCAGUUGUCGUGCCAACGGCAUAGCUGGGUAGCUAUGUGUGGACGGGAUAAGUGCUGAAAGCAUCUAAGCAUGAAGCCCCCCUCAAGAUGAGAUUUCCCAACUUCGGUUAUAAGAUCCCUCAAAGAUGAUGAGGUUAAUAGGUUCGAGGUGGAAGCAUGGUGACAUGUGGAGCUGACGAAUACUAAUCGAUCGAAGACUUAAUCAAAA